rnacentral:tRNA from 1 species
GCUUGGGUGGUGUAGUGGUUAGCAUUGGAGCCUGUCACGCUUCCGACCCGGGUUCGAAUCCCGGCCCGAGCGC